rnacentral:pre_miRNA from 1 species
ACAUACAUUACCUGGGGAUUUUGUUAAAGUGAGGAUUCUGAAGGUCUGAGGUGAGGCUUGAGAUUCCGCAUUUCUAACAAGCUCCCACGUGAUGCUGAU